GUCACUUUCUAACAUUAAUAUAUAGUAGCAGAGUCAUGAUACUUCGAAAAUCACUAAAAAAACCUAAAGAUAGCCCUAAUAAUACCAUCAUAGACAGUAACCUGCAUUAAGAGACCCCAUACAUCAACCAUGGAUAAUAAAAGGAUAAUUAACACUCGACAUUUUGCAUUACAUUAGCUUGAGCGUUAAAGACUCAGUAGGACCACAGGCAGUCAAGCUCUGUGAGACCCAUCCCCACCCUU
rnacentral:misc_RNA from 1 species